AAUUGAAGUAGCUUAAACUUAGUGGCGGACGGGUGAGUAACGCGUGGGUAACCUGCCUCAUACUGGGGGAUAACAACCGGAAACGGCUGCUAAAACCGCAUAAUAUGCAAACAUCACAUGAUGAUUGCAUUAAAUAUUUAUAGGUAUGAGAUGGGCCCGCGUCUGAUUAGCUAGUUGGUGAGAUAAAAGCUCACCAAGGCGACGAUCAGUAGCCGGCUUGAGAGAGUGACCGGCCACCAUUGGGACUGAGACACGGCCCAAACUCC
rnacentral:rRNA from 1 species